rnacentral:rRNA from 1 species
UACAGAGGUCCCAAGCGUUGUUCGGAUUCAUUGGGCGUAAAGGGCGCGUAGGCGGCUUGACAAGUCACUUGUGAAAUCUCCGGGCUUAACUCGGAACGGCCAAGUGAAACUGUCAUGCUAGAGUGCAGAAGGGGCAAUCGGAAUUCUUGGUGUAGCGGUGAAAUGCGUAGAUAUCAAGAGGAACACCUGAGGUGAAGACGGGUUGCUGGGCUGACACUGACGCUGAGGCGCGAAAGCCAGGGGAGCAAACGGG